rnacentral:rRNA from 1 species
UACGGAGGGUGCAAGCGUUGCUCGGAAUGACUGGGCGUAAAGCGCACGCAGGCGGAUUGUUAAGUCAGAUGUGAAAUCCCCGGGCUCAACCUGGGAACUGCAUCUGAUACUGGCAAGCUUGAGUCUCGUAGAGGGGGGUAGAAUUCCAGGUGUAGAGGUGAAAUGCGUAGAUAUCUGGAGGAACACCGGUGGCGAAGGCGGCGCCCUGGACGAAGACUGACGCUGAGGUGCGAAAGCGUGGGGAGCAAACAGG